GACGAACGCUGGCGGCGUGCUUAACACAUGCAAGUCGAACGGAAAGGCCCUGCUUUUGUGGGGUGCUCGAGUGGCGAACGGGUGAGUAACACGUGAGUAACCUGCCCUUGACUUUGGGAUAACUUCAGGAAACUGGGGCUAAUACCGGAUAGGAGCUCCUGCUGCAUGGUGGGGGUUGGAAAGUUUCGGCGGUUGGGGAUGGACGCGCGGCUUAUCAGCUUGUUGGUGGGGUAGUGGAUUACCAAGGCUUUGACGGGUAGCCGGCCUGAGAGGGUGACCGGCCACAUUGGGACUGAGAUACGGCCCAGACUCCUACGGGAGGCAGCAGUGGGGAAUAUUGCACAAUGGGCGGAAGCCUGAUGCAGCAACGCCGCGUGCGGGAUGACGGCCUUCGGGUUGUAAACCGCUUUCGCCUGUGACGAAGCGUGAGUGACGGUAAUGGGUAAAGAAGCACCGGCUAACUACGUG
rnacentral:rRNA from 1 species